rnacentral:rRNA from 1 species
UGAGUAAUGUCUGGGAAACUGCCUGAUGGAGGGGGAUAACUACUGGAAACGGUAGCUAAUACCGCAUAACGUCGCAAGACCAAAGAGGGGGACCUUCGGGCCUCUUGCCAUCAGAUGUGCCCAGAUGGGAUUAGCUAGUAGGUGGGGUAACGGCUCACCUAGGCGACGAUCCCUAGCUGGUCUGAGAGGAUGACCAGCCACACUGGAACUGAGACGCGGUCCAGACUCCUACGGGAGGCAGCAUG